AAGCUCGUAGUUGAAUUUCGGGAUUAAUUUAUUGGUCGUGCAAUAGUACGUACUGGUAUUAUCGAUUCCUACCUUCUGACGAACCAUGAUGUCAUUAAUUUGGUGUCAUGGGGAAUCAGGACUGUUACUUUGAAAAAAUUAGAGUGUUUAAAGCAGGCUCACGCUUGAAUACAUUAGCAUGGAAUAACGAAAUAGGACGUUUGAUUCUAUUUUGUUGGUUUCUAGGAUCGACGUAAUGAUUAAUAGGGAUAGUUGGG
rnacentral:rRNA from 1 species